rnacentral:rRNA from 1 species
CAAUAGCGUAUAUUUAAGUUGUUGCAGUUAAAAAGCUCGUAGUUGGAUUUCGGGUGGGACGCAGCGGUCUCGCAUUGCGUUUGUACUGCUGCAGCCCUCCUUCUUGCCGGGGGCGGCCUCUCGGACUUCACUGUCUGGGGGUCAGAAUCGGCGAUGUUACGUUGAGUAAAUUAGAGUGUUCAAAGCAAGCUUACGCUCUGAAUAUAAUAGCAUGGGAUAACACGACAGGACUCUGGCCUAUCGUGUUGGUCUAUAGGACCAGAGUAAUGAUUAAGAGGGACAGUCGGGGGCAUUCGUAUUCCGUUGUCAGAGGUGAAAUUCUUGGAUUUACGGAAGACGAACAUCUGCGAAAGCAUUUGCCAAGGAUGUUUUCAUUGA